GAGAUUGAGCAAAGCAUUGUGCAGGGCAGAUUAAGCAAAAUGAAGUGAAGUGGGGUACAAUGAGGUAAAAUAAAAUCAAAAAUUAAACAAGUUAAAAUUAUAAGCCCUAAUGUGAUAGAAAAGUCUUUGGCACCCAUGUCACACUGUGCUACUUGCAGUAUCUUAGUGCUAUUUAGGUUCCUCUUCAGUCACGUUCUCCCGAACAAUGUGAGGUGGAUGGUGGGUGGAUCCAGCAGUCUUGAGGCUUGUCAUGGAACUGUUGGAGAAGAUACUUCCAGGCUUAGAGGCACUUGGGAUCCAGGGUGGCCCUUAUGGAGCUGCUCUUUAGUGUGCCUCUUUAUGAUUUCCAGCAUUUCCAUGUCAAGAGCUUGGGAGAGGUCCUUCACCGGGUUUAUGAUCUUUGUCUCAUCCCAGUGUAUAAUUAGGUCAGCAUUAUAAGUGGUCAUUGCUAGGUUUGUUGUUAGUUUUGCCUUUGCUAUAUCAUUUUUAUGCUCAUUUAUACGUUGGGCCAAAGUUCUAU
rnacentral:lncRNA from 1 species